AGGGUGCAAACGUUGUGCGGAAUUAAUGGGCGUAAAGGGCGCGUAGGCGGCCUGCUAAGUCGAACGUGAAAUCCCCGGGCUCAACCCGGGAACUGCGUCCGAUACUGGUUGGCUUGAAUCCGGGAGAGGGAUGCGGAAUUCCAGGUGUAGCGGUGAAAUGCGUAGAUAUCUGGAGGAACACCGGUGGCGAAGGCGGCAUCCUGGACCGGCAUUGACGCUGAGGAGCGAAAGCUAGGGGAGCAAACGGG
rnacentral:rRNA from 1 species